rnacentral:tRNA from 1 species
GCCGGGGUAGCCAAGUGGCCAAAGGCGACGGCCUUAAGACCACGUACGGUGUGGAUUGACAGCCGUUCCCUGUAGAGGGUACCGGAGUUCGAAUCUCCGCCCCGGCA